CCUACGGGAGGCAGCAGUGAGGAAUAUUGGUCAAUGGGAGAGAUCCUGAACCAGCCAAGCCGCGUGAGGGAAGACGGCCCUAUGGGUUGUAAACCUCUUCUGUCGGAGAACAAAACCCGGGACGUGUCCCGUACUGCGUGUAUCCGAAGAAAAAGCAUCGGCUAACUCCGUGCCAGCAGCCGCGGUAAGACGGAGGAUGCGAACUUUAUCCGGAUUUAUUGGGUUUAACGGGUGCGUAGGCGGUCCGUUAAGUCAGCGGUAAGAGUGCGGGGCUCAACCCCGUCGAGCCGUUGAAACUGGCAGACUUGAGUUGGCGAGAAGUACGCGGAAUGCGCGGUGUAGCGGUGAAAUGCAUAGAUAUCGCGCAGAACUCCGAUUGCGAAGGCAGCGUACCGGCGCCAGACUGACGCUGAGGCACGAAAGCGUGGGGAUCGAACAGGAUUAGAUACCCGUGUAGUC
rnacentral:rRNA from 1 species